rnacentral:rRNA from 1 species
GACGAACCGUCCAAACGUUAUUCGGAAUCACUGGGCUUAAAGGGCGCGUAGGCGGAUGAGCAAGUCCGGAGUGAAAUCCUUCGGCUUAACCGGAGAAGUGCUUUGGAUACUGCUUGUCUUGAGGGAGGUAGGGGCAUGUGGAACUUCUGGUGGAGCGGUGAAAUGCGUUGAUAUCAGAAGGAACGCCGGUGGCGAAAGCGACGUGCUGGCCCUCUUCUGACGCUGAGGCGCGAAAGCUAGGGGAGCAAACGGG